UGCUCCUAUGAGGGUGAUCCUUAACUUGACAUGGUAUAUUUGUGUACGUUCGGAAUUUAGCGGCGUGGGCUGUGGCCUGAACAAUAGCCCAGUUUAGGAAUAAACCUGUGUUCUCUUUUUCCUUUAUGACCCAGGCGGGUCAUUACAAUAUUAUUUGAUACAAUAAUACACAAUUGGGAAAAAGGAACAUUUCCCUGCCAACUAUUAGCCCUCUCGAAAAAAAAAACACCCAUUCCACUAUUUCACCCUACCUAGUCCUACUCCAGACCACCUGUCUGAGAGGAAAUAACACUACCACUCAACACCUUUCUCCUUCCUUGGGCUGAAGACCGACGUCAGCUGAUGAAAAAUGUUCUGGGAAGCAAAGCAACCAUGCGACCGAGAGUGUUUAUUGGGGUGUAAUCAUUAGUCAAAAACGUCAAACGGAAGCCGUUUACUCCAAACGUAAAACGUUUUGCAACGAAAACGAGUUUAUGUAUUGGACAAAUUCAGGCCCCUCCCCGUUUCGUUCAGUUGGGUUCCUAGUGAAUACGCCCCCAGGUGAGCUCGCGACCGACCAGCAGCAAUGAGGAGCGCUUCAUUCUGACAACAACAACACACUGCAUGCAAAAAUGUGGACAGAGGUGAAAAACCACACCAAAAUGAUCUUUCACGAUGGAAACACAUCAGAGCCAGGGGCACACUCCAACACAUAAUUUACAAACUACGCAUGUGUUUAGGGAGUCGGCCAGAUCAGAGGCAGAAGGGAUGACCAGCCGCCUCCGUCAUUUUAGAGAAUUUGGCA